ACUUUCUCUCAACCCUAAGAGGCGCUGGAGCUGCAGGCCGGAGGUUUGACCGGUGUACGUCGUUGCCUCAUCAGCUGGUGGACUAUAUGAGGCUGUUCAAGCCGAGCCGCUGAGCUGGGUUUCUUCCUCUGGGACUCACCUCCCGUCAAGAUUGGAUUGUGCUGCGCAUGGCAGCCACCCUUGCGAAUCCUCCAGUCUGAAAGCGCAACCUGUCCACUCACCUUGCUACCUGGAACAUCGGAGCGCUCCAGCCGGUUCCGCGCAGGCUCACGCCCCAGACUUGUACCCGUCUCUCCCCCCGGCGGAUCGAUCGCCUCCUGAAUACCUGACUCCUGACCACUCUGCUCGCCUCGUUCCCGAGACUGAGAAAUAAAACUUUAAAUCUACGCUUCUCUGUAGAGUGUCCUCUGCAUGUGGGUCAAGUCGGCCUUAAAAAC